AUUUAGGGGGAGGGGACGGGGAGGUGGGGUGGUUUAGUCGUUUGUUGGAAACUGACGUGUGGGUGAGCUGGGGUCACGGAUCGGAAACUGGGAACUCCUUGGGUAGAUCGCGGAUACUGUUAACGCUGCAGCCGACCUCCAAUUCCUGUUUGAGACACCAAAGCCCAGGAUACAAUGUUGCAGCUUCAUGAAAACAGCUUGCAUCAGUUGACUGGCCAGAAAGUUCCUGCGAAGUUUGCUAUUGACGCGGUGCAAGCAUGAAGAUGUGGACCCCUGGAGUGUAGGCUGGCGUCUGUGGGACGUGCUAAAGUUGCAGCUUGCAGCGGAGGCUGAGAACCAGUCAUGUGACCCGGCUGGGUCGAACCAGGCAGAGCGUGAGCACGUGUCCGGGAUUCCAGGAGAUCUCGUCACCCAGGCAAAAAUAAAAAAAUGGCUCCACUGGGACAGCAGCAGAUGCCACGUGCUGAGAAGCAGCACCGAUGGGCCGUCGCGAGUGCUGGGUCUUAGUGAAGAUGCCACUGGGUGAAAGAAGAAGGUGGAUUUGAGACCAGAUGGUUGCAUGAUCAGAGCCCAUGAGCAGCGCUGCCAUCAUACUCCUCGGCGAAUGCGAAAAUAAGCUUCAUCCACGAGAAUCGGCUAAUAAAGAGAGAGAGCGAGAUGCGCUCCUGCGUGAAAUGCCCGGCUGUUACUGACCUUUUCGCGUAUUUCUGCAGGUCGCAGUUCUGCUAACGAGACGUUUAUGUGGGAGUUCGUCCGGCGACGUUUUCUUCCGCGCCGCUUUCUGUCGGCACGCUCGGCUGCCCUUUCAGUAUUUGUUGAAUCUCCUGGGCUUUUGGGCCUCGCUGUCACGGUGGUGGUGCUGCGUGGGUCGGUGCCCUCUGUGGAAACGCCAACCCGGGGCACACCUGCAGGGCAGCUUCCCAUAAAACCGAGGGUGUUCCCCGCCUCCAGAACGUGAAGGAUAACAAAAUGUUAAGCGAUUCCCACCGCUCAGGCAUCCCAAUGAAAAGUAAACAAGAAGAUGACUAAGGUGGACCUGGAGGGAGGUUUGCCUCAUACCAUUCAUGUGUGAGUGGGUACAGGUAUGUGGCAGUUCGUUCAUUCAUGACUUAUCUUUUUUUUUUCUCUGAAAUGUAGAGUAGGUCAGCCGCACCUCAGCAGUGACAGGUCUUGCCCGGUUGCAUAAUAACUUCAUUUCUAUGUCUGUUAUGUAAUUAUCUGUUGAUGUAAGUAAUCGGAUUGAACACUCGGCCUGUAUGUACUGAGGGAAAGAAAUGUUCAUGAGGAAUGAAAAAAGCAAAGAUUUGUUAUUCCGUGUUCUUUUUGCUUUUGUUUUUGUAUACAUCAUGUUGAAAGGUAAUUCUGUGAUUCAGAGUAACUGUCUCCUGGGAAAUCACUGAGAACCAUCUGGUUAUGCCUGAAAGGAAAUGCCCUUAUAGUGCACGGGAUGUGUGCUACUUGGGAAGCGAACAAAAGCAUGGAAACCAAUGGUGCACCAACAUUGCCAUCAUUGACAGUCUCCUGUGACGCUGGCAAAUUCCAGAAGUUGCACGAGGUCUCCUUCGGAAGUCAUGCUUACGUUAUUCGGCGGACUAAACCAAACACGCACAUACCGUGGAUCUGAAUUUUUCACAUACCGUUUGUGUCAUGUGACAUAGCAUAGUUUAUGUCACGUGACAUGCUUUUCUAAAUGUCUUUUAUAUAUGUCUUGUGGUUCUCUGGUCCCCAGCAUCCCUAUUAAUUUCACAAAAGAGGUCACUGUCUUGCAUGUUAUGUAUUUGUUUUAGCUUUGAGGAAAGGGAGUGUGGUCAUGCAAGCCGAAGGUAGUUUGUCACUGAUGGGAAAGUGUGUCUCGUCGUGUCACGUUUAGCCAUGGCCCAAAUUGCCCAGGAGAUCUGGCACCCCGCAGAUUGGAGUGGUGUGGGAUCUUGGGGUUUGGGCCGGGCUCCACUUCCCUGGGGCUCCCCUUGUGGAUCGGGUGCGACCGGCCCCCCCAGGCUGCGAGAGGACAGCUUCGCUCCGGUCCGUGUGCCCACUUUGUUAAAUAAUAUGCUGACUCACA